CUUGAAUGUAGGUAAGAUGGGUUGUUUCAUAUGCAUGGGUGGCACAAUUAUCUUGCAUGCUAAUUAGGCUUUGGCGUGCUCUGAGAUGUCUGAAGAAAUUUCAAGCAGCAUGCAGAUGUAACUAUAAAGGCUUAAAAGAUCAACAAAAACUGCUACAUUGGGAUAUCAGCUAUAUGCAAUAGAAGGCAGACCAUCAGAAGGAUUAUAUGUUGGAUUAAUUAGUAUAUCAUAUUUAGAAGCAAGAUUGUGUAAGAUGUGUACUCUUCAGAUAAUGUCUAUGUAUCUCAAGAAGAUUCCAUUAAUAAAAAUGUUUUUUUGUU